GAUCCUAUGCAGCAGAGGAGGCGAGGGACUUCUGAGUAGGGCACAGAGCCCAACUUCCAGGGAGCAGCCAGGCCUGAAGCCCUUCCCCCAGAGUGCCCUCCUAAGGGGUCACACCAUCUGCAUCUCUGAGACGGUAUGGGUGUCACGGGGUGGGGGAGGCCACGGCACAGAUGCAGCAGGACCUUCCUGGUGGAGCUCCCAGAAGAAACCUGGAGGGCUGCAGAUGCUGGAGCGAGGAUGACAGAUCGUGGAGUACUGGUGCAGUGGACCACGGCGGCGGAUCCAGCACUCUGGCCAUGAACCAAGCAGAGGAGGAGGCACAGUGGAGGUUGGGGCGCAGCCCAGCAGGGGACAGGCUGCAGUUGGUGCCUUGUGUCUUGCAGAGUGCUGAGGCAGUCAGUCAGUGGCUUGCCACAUUCCAGCUACAGCUCUAUGCCCCCAACUUCACCAGUGCUGGCUAUGACCUGCCCACCAUCAGUCGCAUGACCCCUGAGGACCUCACAGCCAUUGGUGUUACCAAGCCAGGCCACCGUAAGAAGAUUACGGCAGAGAUCAGCGGCCUGAACAUCCCUGACUGCCUGCCUGAAC
rnacentral:lncRNA from 1 species